rnacentral:rRNA from 1 species
UACGUAGGGUGCAAGCGUUGUCCGGAAUUAUUGGGCGUAAAGAGCUCGUAGGCGGUCUGUCACGUCGGCUGUGAAAACCCAGGGCUCAACCCCGGGCCUGCAGUCGAUACGGGCAGACUAGAGUGCGGUAGGGGAGACUGGAAUUCCUGGUGUAGCGGUGAAAUGCGCAGAUAUCAGGAGGAACACCGGUGGCGAAGGCGGGUCUCUGGGCCGUAACUGACGCUGAGGAGCGAAAGCGUGGGGAGCGAACAGG